CAGCCGCCGCGGUAAUACGUAGGGUGCGAGCGUUAAUCGGAAUUACUGGGCGUAAAGCGUGCGCAGGCGGCUCUAUAAGACAGAUGUGAAAUCCCCGGGCUUAACCUGGGAACUGCGUUUGUGACUGUAGGGCUUGAGUGCGGCAGAGGGGGGUGGAAUUCCACGUGUAGCAGUGAAAUGCGUAGAGAUGUGGAGGAACACCGAUGGCGAAGGCAGCCCCCUGGGUCGACACUGACGCUCAUGCACGAAAGCGUGGGGAGCAAACAGG
rnacentral:rRNA from 1 species